rnacentral:rRNA from 1 species
UACAGAGGGUGCAAGCGUUGUUCGGAAUUAUUGGGCGUAAAGGGCGCGUAGGCGGUUCGACAAGUCCCGCGUGAAAGCCCCCGGCUCAACUGGGGAACGGCGCGGGAAACUGUCGGGCUAGAGUCCGGAAGAGGCGAGUGGAAUUCCUGGUGUAGCGGUGGAAUGCGCAGAUAUCAGGAGGAACACCAAUAGCGAAGGCAGCUCGCUGGGACGGUACUGACGCUAAGGUGCGAAAGCGUGGGGAGCGAACAGG